rnacentral:hammerhead_ribozyme from 1 species
AGCCGAAACGGGGUUCCGCCCCCGUCUGCGGGAGAUGGCCUACCCGCACCGAUGAGCUAGGCCAAG